rnacentral:rRNA from 1 species
GACGAACGCUGGCGGCGUGCUUAACACAUGCAAGUCGAGCGGGGUCCAACCUGUCGCAAGACAGGGGAAGGCCUAGCGGCGAACGGGUGAGUAACACGUGAGCAACCUGCCCCGAAGACUGGGAUAACACCGGGAAACCGGUGCUAAUACCGGAUACCCUCGAUGGGUCACAUGGCCUGACGAGGAAAUGGAUUCCGCUUCGGGAGGGGCUCGCGGCCUAUCAGCUUGUUGGUGGGGUAACGGCCCACCAAGGCUACGACGGGUAGCUGGUCUGAGAGGACGGCCAGCCACACUGGGACUGAGACACGGCCCAGACUCCUACGGGAGGCAGCAGUGGGGAAUCUUGCGCAAUGGGCGAAAGCCUGACGCAGCAACGCCGCGUGCGGGACGAAGGCCUUC